GUUCCGUGCCACCGAAGUUUCCCACCGAGGACCCCGAUUACCGAAUCCUUAAAAGGAACUGGUCCCGCUAUACGCACUACUACUUCUACAUCCGCGACGAAGUGCUCGGCCCCAUGGCGAUGUGCGUCGGCUCCUUCCUCCCCUUCCAGACCACCUAUUACAUCAAUGGCCAUCACUUCAUGGCCGGGGAACUCCAGCGC
rnacentral:misc_RNA from 1 species